UAGCAAUACUGAGUGGCGAACGGGUGAGUAUAAUGUGGGUAUCUGCCUUUUGGUUUGGAAUAACACGAGGAAACUUGUGCUAAUACCGGAUAAGCCUUCACAGGGAAAGUUUUAUACGCCAAAAGAUGAGCCCGCACUUGAUUAGCUAGUUGGUAAGGUAAUGGCUUACCAAGGCUACGAUCAAUAGCUGUUCUUAGAGGAAGAUCACCCACAUUGGGACUGAGACACGGCCCACACUCCUACGGGAGGCAGCAGUGGGGAAUCUUGCACAAUGGGGGAAACCCUGAUGCAGCGAUGCCGCGUGAGUGAAGAACGCCCUUGGGUUGUAAAGCUCUUUCGUCGGGGAAAAAAAUGACUGUACCCGAAUAAGAAGGUCCGGCUAACUUCGUGCCAGCAGCCGCGGUAAUACGAAGGGACCUAGCGUAGUUCGGAAUUACUGGGCUUAAAGAGCACGUAGGUGGUUAAGAAAGUUGGUGGUGAAAUCCCAAGGCUUAACCUUGGAACUGCCACCAAAACUUUUUAACUAGAGUAUGA
rnacentral:rRNA from 1 species